GAUGAAGCUCUUAAAGCUGAGAUACAGAGCGGAGAUUUCUCCACGAACGAUGAAGCAUACAAAACAUUGAUGCCACAGGUUAAUCCUUGCAUAACAAGAAAAAUUAAAAGGACUAUUCAGUUGCCGCCUUCGUCUACUAGUUUGGCAACUCGUAAUCCAAAAAGCUCAUUACUCAACCCACCAUGUAAUUAUGGAUUAAAAAGAGAUGACUACAGCAAGGAAAAUUUCGUACUCAAAGUAGUUACAAAUUCAGACCCGAAGGAUAGGAGGUCAAAGGAAAGACGUUCGAGGUCAAGGGAGCAUACUCUAAGGUGAAGCCGAAAGUCAAAGGACAACUAUCUGGAAUUAAAGGGCCGGCGUUCGAAGUCCAGGGAAAGGCUUCCAGAUCUCAUAGCUCUAGGUCCAGAUUAAUGCGUGUGAAAUCGAAAGAGAGGCUAACGGAAAAGCGCACUAUAACCAAGGAAAGUCGCUCGACAUUGCAGGAGGGGAAUUUAAUAUCAGACCGAAAGUCAAAGGAAAACCACUCCAAACUACGCAGCAGUUCAUACCGAGUUCAUACCGAGCAGGCAGCCUGCAUGAAGAAACCCCAUAAGAGUGAAAGAGGCGGACCAUUUUCUAUCUCUAUCUCUCUCACUCUCUAGCCCUAAUGUGCUCCGUUUGGCGGCGGUAAAUGCUAGGGAUACAAGUCGAGUCUGGAGUUUGAAUUGUACAAUUUUGACUUGCAUUUCAUUCAAAGCUAGCUCUAAGGCGUCAAGGCAUGUUCGAGGGAUCUGUUUACAUUAUG